rnacentral:miRNA from 9 species
GUCACUGUUAUUCUGCACAGAGA